rnacentral:rRNA from 1 species
UACGUAGGGUGCAAGCGUUAAUCGGAAUACUGGGCGUAAAGCGUGCGCAGGCGGUUCUAUAAGACAGAUGUGAAAUCCCCGGGCUCAACCUGGGAACUGCAUUUGUGACUGUAGAGCUGGAGUACGGUAGAGGGGGAUGGAAUUCCGCGUGUAGCAGUGAAAUGCGUAGAUAUGCGGAGGAACACCGAUGGCGAAGGCAAUCCCCUGGACCUGUACUGACGCUCAUGCACGAAAGCGUGGGGAGCAAACAGG